UUCGCCCUUAGAGUUUGAUCCUGGCUCAGGACGAACGCUGGCGGCGCGCCUAACACAUGCAAGUCGAACGAGCGAGAGAGAGCUUGCUUUCUCGAGCGAGUGGCGAACGGGUGAGUAACGCGUGAGGAAUCUGCCUCAAAGAGGGGGACAACAGUUGGAAACGACUGCUAAUACCGCAUAAGCCCACGGUGCCGCAUGGCACAGAGGGAAAAGGAGUAAUCCGCUUUGAGAUGGCCUCGCGUCCGAUUAGCUAGUUGGUGAGGUAACGGCCCACCAAGGCGACGAUCGGUAGCCGGACUGAGAGGUUGAACGGCCACAUUGGGACUGAGACACGGCCCAGACUCCUACGGGAGGCAGCAGUGGGGAAUAUUGCACAAUGGGGGAAACCCUGAUGCAGCGACGCCGCGUGGAGGAAGAAGGUCUUCGGAUUGUAAACUCCUGUUGUUGGGGAAGAUAAUGACGGUACCCAACAAGGAAGUGACGGCUAACUACGUGCCAGCAGCCGCGGUAAAACGUAGGUCACAAGCGUUGUCCGGAAUUACUGGGUGUAAAGGGAGCGCAGGCGGGAAGACAAGUUGGAAGUGAAAUCUAUGGGCUCAACCCAUAAACUGCUUUCAAAACUGUUUUUCUUGAGUAGUGCAGAGGUAGGCGGAAUUCCCGGUGUAGCGGUGGAAUGCGUAGAUAUCGGGAGGAACACCAGUGGCGAAGGCGGCCUACUGGGCACCAACUGACGCUGAGGCUCGAAAGUGUGGGUAGCAAACAGGAUUAGAUACCCUGGUAGUCCACACCGUAAACGAUGAUUACUAGGUGUUGGAGGAUUGACCCCUUCAGUGCCGCAGUUAACACAAUAAGUAAUCCACCUGGGGAGUACGACCGCAAGGUUGAAACUCAAAGGAAUUGACGGGGGCCCGCACAAGCAGUGGAGUAUGUGGUUUAAUUCGACGCAACGCGAAGAACCUUACCAAGUCUUGACAUCCCGUGACGGACAUAGAAAUAUGUGAUUUCUUCGGAGCACGGAGACAGGUGGUGCAUGGUUGUCGUCAGCUCGUGUCGUGAGAUGUUGGGUUAAGUCCCGCAACGAGCGCAACCCUUAUGGUCAGUUACUACGCAAGAGGACUCUGGCCAGACUGCCGUUGACAAAACGGAGGAAGGUGGGGAUGACGUCAAAUCAUCAUGCCCUUUAUGACUUGGGCUACACACGUACUACAAUGGCGUUAAACAAAGAGAAGCAAGACCGCGAGGUGGAGCAAAACUCAGAAACAACGUCCCAGUUCGGACUGCAGGCUGCAACUCGCCUGCACGAAGUCGGAAUUGCUAGUAAUCGUGGAUCAGCAUGCCACGGUGAAUACGUUCCCGGGCCUUGUACUCACCGCCCGUCA
rnacentral:rRNA from 1 species